GAGUCUCCUUGUCUGGAGGGAUUCCAGCCCCAGCUGGCCAAUGCUGGGCAAGCUGCUGUGGGUGCCCUGCUUUAGCAGCAGGAUUGGACCAGAGGUCCCUUCCAACCCUAAAAUUACUCCAAGCCAAUGAACAAAAACCACUCCAACAUGAAACUGCUGCUAGUGCCAAAAAGGUGAGAAAGUGACAGCUUUCAAGAGCUCUUCACUCUUUUCUUCCCCUUCCAGGCUGUUCUUUAUGUUCAUCAAAUCCUCAGAGAGUUUGGGUUGGAUGUGACCUCAAAGCUCAUCUAGUUCCAGCCCCUGUGCCCUGGGCAGGGACAGCUUUCACUAGCCCAGGUUGUGCCAAGCCUGUUUGGGGCUUUUUAUCUUGUUAAUUAAAAUAUUUCAAGUGCUGAGAAAGUCUGAAGCAGUUCUUUUCCCCUCAGGACAGAGAGCACAUUCUGUGGCCUCAGGAUCCAAGAGCGUGCGGUCGGAGCCCAGAAUGCCUGAAGCAGAGGAGCUUCCAACUUCCUGCCUGCCUGUGGCAAGCAGAGGAUUCAGUGCCCCCAGAAAGGACUUCGCGUGGCAGAGGUUCAGAGAGCCGGCAGCAUCCAGUGGUUUAAUGCAUGAGAGCAAGAGGCAGCAGAGAGUCGUGGCUGCCAGCGAUAAAUGCAGGGCCGGCAGGGCGAUGUCAGGGUAGUAAAUCUUGGCGAGGAUCCGACAGAGAGGGAGCUGCAGCUCUGUGCGGCAGCUCUGCUAGAAGAGAAAACCAGCAGAGGCUCAGCCGUGUGCCAAAGGUGCAAAAGUUAGGCAGGAGGAUGUCCGUGGCUUGGGUGGAGAAGAAGGAGCAGAGCCUGUCAGCUGUCCUUGUCUCUGUCUUUGCUUGCCUGAUGUCAUAGGGGGGGUGUGGGCUGUGGUGAUGCAGCAGAGGGGUGGGGGCAGCCUCCCUUGCAAGAGUGCUUGCAGCCCUGCACGUUUGAAGGGCCUGAGAAUUCUUGGAGAGGAUUAAAACAUGCUGCAGA